rnacentral:rRNA from 1 species
UACGGGGGGGGGUAAGCGUUGUUCGGAAUUACUGGGCGUAAAGGGCUCGUAGGCGGCCAACUAAGUCAGACGUGAAAUCCCUCAGCUUAACUGGGGGAACUGCGUCUGAUACUGGAUGGCUUGGAUUCGGGAGAGGAAUGCGGAAUUCCAGGUGUAGCGGUGAAAUGCGUAGAUAUCUGGAGGAACACCGGUGGCGAAGGCGGCAUUCUGGACCGAUAUUGACGCUGAGGAGCGAAAGCCAGGGGAGCAAACGGG